GGAUCAGUAGCUUACGGUCGGAGCGCCGGUCUGAAAACCGGAGGAUGCAGGUUCGAUACCUGCCUGGUCCACCA
rnacentral:tRNA from 1 species